rnacentral:rRNA from 1 species
GAUGAACGCUGGCGGUGUGCCUAAUACAUGCAAGUCGAGCGGGAGAAUCAUCCUUCGGGAUGAGGAUCCAGCGGCGAACGGGUGAGUAACACGUGGGCAACCUGCCCGCAAGACCGGGAUAACUCCGGGAAACCGGGGCUAAUACCGGAUAGUCCUUUUCUCCGCAUGGGGAAAAGGGGAAAGGCGGCUUCGGCUGUCACUUGCGGAUGGGCCCGCGGCGCAUUAGCUGGUUGGUGAGGUAACGGCUCACCAAGGCGACGAUGCGUAGCCGACCUGAGAGGGUGAUCGGCCACACUGGGACUGAGACACGGCCCAGACUCCUACGGGAGGCUG